UGGGGGAUAUUGCACAAUGGAGGAAACUCUGAUGCAGCGACGCCGCGUGAGUGAAGAAGGCCUUCGGGUCGUAAAGCUCUGUCCUAGGGGAAGAUAAUGACGGUACCCUAGGAGGAAGCCCCGGCUAACUACGUGCCAGCAGCCGCGGUAAUACGUAGGGGGCGAGCGUUGUCCGGAAUUACUGGGCGUAAAGAGUUCGUAGGCGGUCUGAUAAGUCAGAUGUGAAAGGCGUAGGCUUAACCUAUGUAAGCAUAUGAAACUGUCAGACUUGAGGUAAGGAGAGGAAAGUGGAAUUCCUAGUGUAGCGGUGAAAUGCGUAGAUAUUAGGAGGAAUACCAGUGGCGAAGGCGACUUUCUGGACUUAAACUGACGCUGAGGAACGAAAGCGUGGGGAGCAAACAGG
rnacentral:rRNA from 1 species